GUAGGGUGAACCUGCGGAAGGAUCAUUACCUAGAGUUUGUGGGCUUUGCCCGCUACCUCUUACCCAUGUCUUUUGAGUACUUACGUUUCCUCGGCGGGUCCGCCCGCCGAUUGGACAAAAUCAAACCCUUUGCAGUUGCAAUCAGCGUCUGAAAAACAUAAUAGUUACAACUUUCAACAACGGAUCUCUUGGUUCUGGCAUCGAUGAAGAACGCAGCGAAAUGCGAUAAGUAGUGUGAAUUGCAGAAUUCAGUGAAUCAUCGAAUCUUUGAACGCACAUUGCGCCCCUUGGUAUUCCAUGGGGCAUGCCUGUUCGAGCGUCAUUUGUACCUUCAAGCUUUGCUUGGUGUUGGGUGUUUGUCUCGCCUCUGCGUGUAGACUCGCCUUAAAACAAUUGGCAGCCGGCGUAUUGAUUUCGGAGCGCAGUACAUCUCGCGCUUUGCACUCAUAACGACGACGUCCAAAAGUACAUUUUUACACUCUUGACCUCGGAUCAGGUAGGGAUACCCGCUGAACUUAAGCAUAUCAAUAAGCGGAGGAAU
rnacentral:rRNA from 1 species